rnacentral:rRNA from 1 species
GACGAAGGGGGCUAGCGUUGUUCGGAAUUACUGGGCGUAAAGCGUGUGUAGGUGGUUGUUCAAGUCAGGUGUGAAAGCCUUGAGCUCAACUCAAGAAAUGCACUUGGGACUGAAUGACUAGAGGACCGGAGAGGAUAGUGGAAUUCCCAGUGUAGUGGUGAAAUACGUAGAGAUUGGGAAGAACACCAGUGGCGAAGGCGGCUAUCUGGACGGUUUCUGACACUAAGACACGAAAGCGUGGGGAGCAAACAGG